GAUGAACGCUGGCGGCGUGCCUAAUACAUGCAAGUCGAGCGAACAGAUAAGGAGCUUGCUCCUUUGACGUUAGCGGCGGACGGGUGAGUAACACGUGGGUAACCUACCUAUAAGACUGGGAUAACUUCGGGAAACCGGAGCUAAUACCGGAUAAUAUUUCGAACCGCAUGGUUCGAUAGUGAAAGAUGGUUUUGCUAUCACUUAUAGAUGGACCCGCGCCGUAUUAGCUAGUUGGUAAGGUAACGGCUUACCAAGGCGACGAUACGUAGCCGACCUGAGAGGGUGAUCGGCCACACUGGAAGUGAGACACGGUCCAGACUCCUAAGGGAGGCAGCAGUAGGGAAUCUUCCGCAGUGGGCGAAAGCCUGACGGAGCAACGCCGCGUGAGUGAUGAAGGUCUUCGGAUCGUAAAACUCUGUUAUUAGGGAAGAACAUACGUGUAAGUAACUGUGCACGUCUUGACGGUACCUAAUCAGAAAGCCACGGCUAACUACGUG
rnacentral:rRNA from 1 species